rnacentral:rRNA from 1 species
GAUAACGCUGGCGGCGUGCAUAACCACAUGCAAGUCGAACGAUGAACCUUAUUAGAUUUCUUGGGAAUGAAAAUAAGUGGAUUAGUGGCGAACGGGUGAGUACCACGUGAGUAACCUGCCUUACACAAGGGGAUAGCCUUUGGAAACGAAGAAUAAUACCCUAUAAAGUUAGUCAAUCGCAUGGUAGACUAACCAAAGAUUUAUCGGUGUAAGAUGGACUUGCGUCUGAUUAGCUAGUUGGUGAGAUAAAAGCCCACCAAGGCGACGAUCAGUAGCCGGCUUGAGAGAGUGUACGGCCACAUUGGGACUGAGACACGGCCCAAACUCCUACGGGAGGCAGCAGUGGGGAAUUUUGCACAAUGGGGGAAACCCUGAUGCAGCGACGCCGCGUGAUUUAGAAGGCCUUCGGGUUGUAAAAAUCUUUUUUAUGGGAUGAAAAUGACAGUACCAUAAGAAUAAGGUCCGGCUAAAUACGUGCCAGCAGCCGCGGUAAUACGUAUGGACCGAGCGUUGUCCGGAAUCAUUGGGCGUAAAGGGUACGUAGGCGGCCUAGUAAGUUAGAAGUGAAAUAAUAUAGCUCAACUAUAUAAAGCUUUUAAAACUGUUAGGCUUGAGAGAUGAAAGGGAAAGUGGAAUUCCUAGUGUAGCGGUGAAAUGCGCAGAUAUUAGGAAGAAUACCGGUGGCGAAGGCGACUUUCUGGUCAUCAUCUGACGCUGAGGUACGAAAGCGUGGGUAGCAAACAGG